GACGAACGCUGGCGGCGUGCUUAACACAUGCGAGUCGAACGGAAAGGCCCUGCUUUUGUGGGGUGCUCGAGUGGCGAACGGGUGAGUAACACGUGAGUAACCUGCCCUUGACUUUGGGAUAACUUCAGGAAACUGGGGCUACUCUCGGAUAGGAGCUCCCGCUGCAUGGUGGGGGUUGGAAAGUUUCGGCGGUUGGGGAUGGACUCGCGGCUUAUCAGCUUGUUGGUGGGGUAGUGGCUUACCAAGGAUUUGACGGGUAGCCGGCCUGGGAGGGUGACCGGCCACAUUGGGACUGAGAUAGGGCCCAGACUCCUACGGGAGGCAGCAGUGGGGAAUAUUGCACAAUGGGCGGGAGCCUGAUGCAGCAACGCCGCGUGCGGGAUGACGGCCUUCGGGUUGUAAACCGCUUUCGCCUGUGACGAAGCGUGAGUGACGGUAAUGGGUAAAGAAGCACCGGCUAACUACGUG
rnacentral:rRNA from 1 species